GGUUCGAUGGCGUAGUUGGUUAUCGCAUCUGUCUAACAUGAAUGUGAACUGUCACCAUGCACAGAAGGUCCCCAGUUCGAGCCUGGGUCGAAUCA